GUCUAGUCAGCUAGCUACCUAUGCAUUAUUACAUCAUACACUUGUAAAAUUAAAGUUUCAUUUUCACUUUUGUUUCUAAGAAGUGAACUUAGAUUUUCAUAAAAUGUAAGACUAUCUUUUGUUUUUCCUCUCUUAUUCUAUGAUGAUUUUCCCGCUGUGAAGCUUUUCUUGUUUAAAGCUCAAUUUCUCUAUGACCACUGAAGUAAACAUCCUGAUGCAUUCUUGUCAUGUGAAUGUUGAGAGCGUGUUCAUUUUUGAAAUCUCCUUUCUGACAGACAUAUUCCACAGGAUCAGCUGAGAUGUUAUUUCACUGGAUUAUUUUAUGGAUAGGCUUAUUGGGCAUAUAGUUGGAUAUCUCUGGAUCAGCUGAGAUGUUAUUUCACUGGAUUAUUUAAUGGACAGGCUUAUUGGGCAUAUAGUUGGAUAUCUCUGUCAUCAACAUGGAAGAUAUGGUUUGUUCCUAACCAUCUAUAAUCAAUUCUCUAUGAAGUUCAGACUGUCUGCUGUUCCCUUGGAAAUACACAGUUAGUCAACCAACAUAGAAACACACAAACUUGAAGGAUAUUCUAGUGAGGGCUUGUGGAAAUGAUCUAUGUCUACUCUCAGAAUGGUGAAAGACUAUCAGAGUAUGCAAAGACUAACAGAAUAUCCUCUCUUGGAACACUGAAACAAGAAAAUCAAACAGGAGGUGGAUGGAGGAUUUAAGAAGCACAUAGAUAAAUAUGAUUCCCAACCAAUUUAAGUACGAUCAUAGACUGUGGUUUACAGGAUGACAAAGAAAGGACCCAGGAUUGUAUCUUUUACUGUCAGACACUGACUAGGGAUAAGAUGUAGCCAUUUAUCAAACUGAGAUCUAGUCAAAUCAAGUACUGAGAACAUGAUUUUCUGAUAGCAUGAAUUUAUUCUCUCCAACUUCAAAGUAUCUAUAGCUGACUUUUAUUUUUACCAACUCAUAUUGAAGACAGUUGUUAUGUAUGAGAAGUAUACAUUUAAACCUUUUAUUUUUUUCAUCUUAUUUCCAAACCCCCUAGAAAUUACAUAGAUAUUCAGAUGCUAGAUUUGAUGUAAUUAUUACUUUCCUGGAAAUGUAAAUAUAUUUUAUUUGUGUAUAUGUGUGUAUUGUGCCCUAUAAUUAUAUUUAGAAAUUGAAAUAUGAUAAAGGUCCCUUAAUAUCCCACAUCAAGAUGCAGGUGCCCAAUAAUCUGUGAUGCAAUAAUAUCUUGAAUAUUAUUUAUUAUCUCAUACACUUCAUAUGCUUACUACACAUAUCAGGUUAUAGUAAUACACAUAGUUUUAUAGGACAUUUUGUCAAGGUCAAAGCAUGAGAUUAUUGAGAUAACUACCUUUGAAAAUAAUUUGUAACAUACAAACUUCACAUCAUUAGAAAAGAAUGAAUAGGAGAUUUUCUAUAUAUUUUUGGAUAAUUUACUCCUGAGUAAAAGUUAGCC